rnacentral:rRNA from 1 species
CCUACGGGAGGCUGCAGUGGGGAAUAUUGGGCAAUGCGCGCAAGCCUGACCCAGCAACGCCGCGUGAAGGAAGAAGGCUUUCGGGUUGUAAACUUCUUUUGUCAGGGACGAAGCAAGUGACGGUACCUGACGAAUAAGCCACGGCUAACUACGUGACAGCCGCCGCUGUAAUACGUAGGUGGCAAGCGUUUGCCGGAUUUAUGGGGUGUAAAGGGCGUGUAGGCGGGAAUGCAAGUCAGAUGUGAAAACUAUGGGCUCAACCCAUAGCCUGCAUGUGAAACUGUAUUUCUUGAGUGCUGGAGAGGAAAUCGGAAUUCCGGGUGUAGCGGUGAAAUGCGUAGAUAUACGGAGGAACACCAGUGGCGAAGGCGGAUUGCUGGACAGUAACUGACGCUGAGGCGCGAAAGCGUGGGGAGCAAACAGGAUUAGAUACCCGAGUAGUC